rnacentral:rRNA from 1 species
AGUUUGAUCCUGGCUCAGAUUGAACGCUGGCGGCAUGCCUUACACAUGCAAGUCGAACGGUAACAGGUCUUCGGAUGCUGACGAGUGGCGAACGGGUGAGUAAUACAUCGGAACGUGCCCGAUCGUGGGGGAUAACGCAGCGAAAGCUGUGCUAAUACCGCAUACGAUCUACGGAUGAAAGCGGGGGAUCGCAAGACCUCGCGCGGACGGAGCGGCCGAUGGCAGAUUAGGUAGUUGGUGGGGUAAAGGCUCACCAAGCCUUCGAUCUGUAGCUGGUCUGAGAGGACGACCAGCCACACUGGGACUGAGACACGGCCCAGACUCCUACGGGAGGCAGCAGUGGGGAAUUUUGGACAAUGGGCGCAAGCCUGAUCCAGCCAUGCCGCGUGCAGGAUGAAGGCCUUCGGGUUGUAAACUGCUUUUGUACGGAACGAAAAGACCUUUUCUAAUAAAGAGGGUCCAUGACGGUACCGUAAGAAUAAGCACCGGCUAACUACGUG